GUGGUGCGCGGGCCUCGGCCAGGCCUGAGAUGCCGGGAGGGUUUGACCCUGGGGCUGCAUGGACAGCUUAGCGCUCGGCCGCUGGCGACAGCGGAGGGCGGAGGAUCUGCAGGUUCCGGGGGACGUGACAUGUUUUGAGCGCCUGCUGUGUCUCAAGCCCUGUCCUAGGCACUGGAGAUGAGAUGAAGAAACGAUGAGUAGAGGCCUUGCUUACGUUUAUCCUGCAACUCAUGAUGAGGCUUACUCUGCAACUCCAGUGCUCGGCUUUUUACACAACAGAGUCUCUGUUGCCCAGGCUGGAGUACAGUCGCACGAUCUUGGCUCACUGCAACCUCUGCCUCUCAGGUUCGAGUGAUUCUUCUGCCUCAGCCUCCCAAGUUGCUGGGAUUACAGAAACGGGUAUGCAGGAGAUUAGAAGCCAGUGGGCAUGAGCGUGGCUGCCACCAGGUGAAUGCCUGUGCCCUGGCGUCCUGGGGCCCAGAGGACCGGGAGCUUCCAUCAAGAGGCUGCCUCCCAGCACCAAGGCCAGAGAGUGGCCAGGGGAGGCUAAGUACAGGGAUUUCUCAGAAUGGUGGAAGGAGCUCAGCCCAGCCUUGCCCAAGAUGUAUUGCAGGGGAAUCUAUGGAGUUUUGCUCUCGUUGCCCACGCUGGAGUGCAAUGGCAUGAUCUCAGCUCACUGCAACCUCCGCUUCCCAGGUUCAAGCGAUUCUCCUGCCUCAGCCACCCAAGUAGUUGGGAUUACAGGUGUGUGCCACCAUGCCUGGCGACUUUUGUAUUUUCAGUAGAGAUGGGGUUUCACCUUGUUGAUCAGGCUGGUCUCAAACUCCUGACCUCAAGUGAUCCACCCACCUCGGCCUCCCAAAGUGCUGGGAUUACAGGCGAGAGCCACCGUGCCCGGCCAUGACCUUCUUUAGUUCUUUGACCAUAUUUAAAAUGGCUGAGGUGAAGUCUCUGGUAUACCCCUCCUUGAACAGAGCAGGGAAGGAUGCGUCAGGAAUAAGUCACCUCAGUGAAUAGCUGUUUUUAAAAAAGAAAUCAUUGUGUUUUUCAAGUUCUGUGGUUGGUGAUGACGAAAUGAAUUAAACAGCAUUUCCCUGCAGUUCCCCUGUCUCUUCCCUAAGAGACGCCUGCUGCCUCCUGGGUCUGCGCACCCCACGGCACCUCCAAGUGAGCCUCCCAGGCUUCCACUGACUCUGCCCCUUCAGUGCACAGCCCAGAGCCGUGAUUUGCCAGCUGGGCUCCUGCGUUCAGAGUCUCCCAACAGAACAGGUUCUUGUCCAGAGAAGUUCAGGAAAUGCUACAUACUUUCCCCUGCCUUUUAGAGACUUGAUGUCCAUUAGACUGUGAAAGACCUCGAGAAUUGCAUGAAGAAACUGGUUUCCAAAAUGUCCUUUUGUAAAGGGAUACCUGCUACACAUGUGAUUCUGGGAAUAUUCUGGGAAGCGCAGGCCUGUUGAGUAAAUGCAGCACCUGUAUUCACCAUGGCAUCCAGGGCCCUUCAAAUCUCAGUGUUGCUUGACCUCCCAGACAGCUGCUCCCAUCCCUGCCAUGUGCGCCACAAGCCCCUGCUCCAGCCGCCACAGCUUCUCCGAUCCUGGAACAGUCUGACCUUGUACUGUGCUUACUGCUUGAGGUAUACCUUCCCACCUCCAAAGAUUCUCUUGCUCCUUCGUGGCCCACCCGAGAUUCCUGUCUUGUGUGAAGCCUUCUUCAGGCCCCUCACCAGGUAGGGUCACGUGCUGUCUUCCCUGGCUCCUGUAGCAUUUCGUUCUGAUCACUCGAAGGAGCCAUCAGUAUCUGACGUCAGUACUCUGCUGUCUGAUAAUCCCUCCAGGCAAGUUCAGAGUCUCUCCUGUCUGGUCCCUGUGGGUCAGGGCAGCCCCUGCCUUCCAGGAAGCAGGGACAUCAUCAAGAACUGGACUUCUUUGUUUCCCCACUGCCCAGCCUACCCCACCCUUCCUGGGCUGCAGCCAGCUCAGGAGCCUGUUGCCCUGAUGGUGGAGUCCUUUCAGGACAGGGAGGCUGUGCCUGUCUCUGCCUGUGGGCCAGAGUGCCACGCUGCUAUGUGCCAGGAUAUGUGGCCAAGUGUGACAGAGAUUCCUAGAUGCUGACGAGCCUCUCAUUGCACAGUGGUACAGUGUCUGGCCAACUGUCUAUCCCCAGCCAUCUGGUUCUCCCAGUUACUUCUGCGGGUGAAGGGACAUUUUAGCCAUACCAAGAAUCAUUAGAAGAUGCAAGCUGGAAAAAAGAAGGUCCCAGUUUUGGUUUUGAACCCUUCAUGUUGCAGCAAAUGUGAAUCUCCUACAGAUGGGUUUGGGGACUUACCUGUUCAAAUAGCAGCCCGGUGUCCUCUGUGGGUGGGGGGAGGUUUGUCUGUCCUUUCAUUCUAGUAAAUCCACCAUCCUCUGCACGAGAGCCAGGAGAAUCCACAUCACUUCAAAAGAGCCCCCAAAUCCUUACUACGUACUACAGCCUCCUUUCGAAUGUUCCUGGUUGAGAGGGAGAUCAAUUGCAUUAUUUACAAGUCAAAAAAUUUUGUAUCAAACUUCCUAUGAGCUUGGGCACUCAUGGCCUAUGGAGGCCCACCCAGACGCAGCCCCGCCAUCAUGCUUUUUCGUUGUUUUGUGGAUGUACCCAGGGCUAUUUACACACUCUUUCAUUAAAAGGCUUAUUUUUAUAUUUAAAA